UACGAAGGGGGCUAGCGUUGUUCGGAAUUACUGGGCGUAAAGCGUGCGCAGGCGGCUUCUCAAGUCAGGGGUGAAAGCCCAGAGCUCAACUCUGGAAUUGCCUUUGAGACUGAGUGGCUUGAGUACGAGAGAGGUGAGUGGAAUUCCCAGUGUAGAGGUGAAAUUCGUAGAUAUUGGGAAGAACACCGGUGGCGAAGGCGGCUCACUGGCUCGUAACUGACGCUGAGACGCGAAAGCGUGGGGAGCAAACAGG
rnacentral:rRNA from 1 species